rnacentral:lncRNA from 1 species
AUCUUGGAUCUAUUUAUUAUUUGAAAUUUAUGUUUAUCCUCUAAUAGUUUAUAUUUAUUUAUCCUUUGAGUUUGUGUUUAUCCUAUGCAGUUUUUAUUUAUCGCAUAAGACAAACAAUAAACUCAAUAAUUAUAGAACAUGUAAUAUCUAUGGCAAUAAUCACAGAUAACAUAAAGCAAAUUAUGAUAAUCCCAUCUCAUGACCCUUGA